rnacentral:rRNA from 1 species
UACGAAGGGGGCUAGCGUUGCUCGGAAUCACUAGGGCGUAAAGCGCACGCUGGCGGAUCUUUAAGUCAGGGGUGAAAUCCUGGAGCUCAACUCCAGAACUGGCCUUUGAUACUGGGGAUCUCGAGUCCGGGAGAGGUGAGUGGAACUGCGAGUGUAGAGGUGAAAUUCGUAGAUAUUCGCAAGACACCAGUGGCGAAGGCGGCUCACUGGCCCGGUACUGACGCUGAGGUGCGAAAGCGUGGGGAGCAAACAGG